AAGAAUUUAGUUAAAAAAAUAACAUUGAUUUGUCAAGUCAAAAUUAUCAAAAGAUAAUUCUUU
rnacentral:tRNA from 1 species